rnacentral:rRNA from 1 species
GUCUUUUUGAGUUUAAUUUAAAGUCUAAUCUGCCCACUGAUAAAAAUUUAAGGGCCGCAGUAUUUUGACUGUGCAAAGGUAGCAUAAUCAUUAGUCUUUUAAUUGAAGGCUUGUAUGAAUGAUUGAACGAGAUAUAAGCUGUCUCAUUAAAAUUUUUAUAGAAUUUUAUUUUUUAGUUAAAAAGCUAAAAUAUACUUAAAAGACGAGAAGACCCUAUAGAUCUUUAUAAUUUAUUUAUAAGUUUUUUUAGGUUAUUUUUUAGAUUUAUAAAUUAAAUUAUUUUGUUGGGGUGACAAUGAAAUUUAAUAAACUUUCAUAAUUUUAUUACAUUAAUUUAUGAUUUUUUGAUCCAUUAUUAGUGAUUAAAAAUUUAAGUUACCUUAGGGAUAACAGCGUAAUUAUUUUGGAGAGUUCUUAUCGAUAAAAUAGUUUGCGACCUCGAUGUUGGAUUAAGAUUAAUUCUAGGUGUAGCCGCUUAGUGUAUUAAGUCUGUUCGACUUUUAAUUUCUU